ensembl:lncRNA
UUUUUUUUUUUUUUUUUUGCUUCCCAAACAGGAACAGUACAACAUGAGGAAGUGGAAUCAAUGCACAGAAAUUAAGCUAAUAUCUUCAGUCUUUGUAACAUCACUUGAGCAGCUUCACAAAGUCACUCAUGCCUAGUGGCCCUAUUAGUUGCUCUUCUCCCAUCAAUGUGCUUUGGAAUUUCCAUCAGUAGCUGGCUAUGCAUUAGUCAUGGAUCAGACAGCAGAAAGACACAGACCUUGCCAAGUCCCACCUAGGUAGCUACACAGGGAGCCCUCUAUUGACCGUGGCCCAGAACAUGUGCAAGCUACUUUCCAUAUGAGAGGGAGGGGCACUGGAUUAAGAACCUAGUGACUGAGGAGGAAAUAUCCCCACCAGUGCUUUGGUGGGACUAGAAAAUGGAGCCCACUCCUGACACUAGGAAGUGCCAAUCUGAAGUUUAAUUGAAGACAAAAAUCCCAAUUUUGGUGCCCAAAUGUCUCUGCCUUUUGAAAUUAUCGUGUAAAUUCACUGAUAAUUCUCUUAGAUUCAUGUGGAGACAUUAGUAUUUUAACUGUUAUUCAUGCCUUUUAAGGUGAUCUUUAGAAGACCCUACAUUGUGUUCUACUUGCUUGGCAGGGCUCCCUCCUAGAAAUUGAGACAAUAAACUUAUGCACAUGUGGACUGCAACAUCAGAGCCCUGGUUCUGUUGAGUAAAAGUAUAGAGAAUUUUUCGGAAAACAGGCAGAAGUGUGGGUAUUUUUGCUAUUCUUUGCUUCACUUAUCUACAGAGGUGGAUCAAGACACCUGGGAAGUGGAAAAUGUGGGUUAGCAAAUAGAGAAGAGGCUGCUACUAGGCUGGGAAGUGCCUCCCUCAUUUACAACUAGCCAGAGACACUGAACUUGGCUGUCCAGGCAAGCCUGGGUCCUGGGAUAUAUGAAAUAAACUUUGGCCUUUAUACCGACUUAUUCCUCAAGCCAAGUUGUUUCACCAACUUCGUUCUGAAGAUCCAGACCCCAGUUGGCAUGAAUCCAUCCCCCUUGCCAUCUUCAGCCCUCCCAGUGGAGCGGAGGUUCUCACCUAAAUAGAGAAGCUAAAUUUCUACGUCCCGAUUUUACCUUUUCCAUGUGUACAUCAGGCAUUUUUCUCCAAAAGAUUGGAAUCAUUUGUGUUGACAUCUUCACUUAUUCAAUUCUACUUUCUCUUCUAACUUAGUAAGGAUCUCUGCUAGUUGAAUUGGCUUUAAUUUCUUUUUCUCCCAGAAGUUAUUGGAAGAAUGCCCAUUAACCAUUUCAUCAUAUUAUUUCUAUAAGCCAAAUUAAUUUUCCAGAAUGUGCAGCAUAUCACCAUAAUGAUUUGCUAAGACCAGUUGCAUUAGAAAAUAUUGCCUUUCUAUUUUUUCUGUAUUUUUAAAUUCAAUCAAAAAGGAAUAAACUUCUGCUGACAAAACCGCUUGGAAAAACCCAUGCUGUUUAACACGCAAUUUUCCUAUCUUCGGUUUACUAGCUUCUUUGCCAAAACCCUGGUGGCGCGGCAUCUGUAGCAAGUUGUCAUCAUUUGUACAACUAGUGGCCCUAACUGGAAACUUGGAAAAUUCCCACUCCUGGACAGUCUGGCACAUGGAAACAUUCUUCUCAAGAUGUGUUAGAAUAAAGACUCAUUAAUGAACAGAAAACACCAACAGUUCUCAUAGUUUACAAUAGGCACAGGCCCAGUGCGGGGCUGGCGGUGGCUGGAAUUGGCUUGGGGGAGUGGACCAAGUGCACCCCUUCCCGGCUUCUCAUUCAGUGUUGUCUCAUGGGCAGUGUGAAAUUAGCCGUGGUUGGAGUCUAUACAUAACAGAAAUUAGCAAACGCUACAAAUAAGGGCUACCUCACACUCCU